CCAGCGUGGGCCCCUGUGAGGUGCACCCGGGCCAGCCAGGCCAUGGCAUCUGCCUGCUGGGGGCUGUUUUACUGCUGCAGGGCAGAAGUUGGCAUCUCAGCUCUGCCACUUUCUAACUCUCCCACCUUGAGCUGCUGCUUUCCACCAGCCUGUUUCCUCCUUGGGAACGUGGAGUGGUGACCCCACUUCACGGGUGUUCCCAGAGCCCACGCACGGUGGGGCAGCAGACAGGAGAUCCCAUCUUGGAAAAGGAAAGAGAGCAGUCAGAGGGAAGUCCCUUGUCCCCAGCAUAGCGGGGGCCACGGCCACUGCAGGGUCAUCUGUCCAGAGCUGCCUAGAGCGUCCCAGAGAGAAGAACCUCCUCCCCUGUGGUACUCACCAGCUGGGUGGAGAACCAGAGUCCCUGCUAGCCUACUGGGCUUUAAAAAAAAGCAGGGGCGGCUGGGAACAGUGGCUCAUGCCUGUAAGCUGAGCACUUUGGGAGGCCGAGGGCGGAUCACAAGGUCAGGAGACUAAGACCAUCUUGGUUAAUACGGUGAAACCCUGUCUCUACUAAAAAUACAAAAAAUUAGCCGGGCGUGGUGUCGGAUGCCUGUAAUCUCAGCUACUCAGGAGGCUGAGGCAGGAGAAUCGCUUGAACCUGGGAAGCAGAGGUUGCAGUGAGCCGAGAUUGCACCACUGCACUCCAGCCUGGCGACAGAGUGAGACUCCAUCUCAAAACAAACAAAUCAACCCACAAAAAGCGGGGACUUCUUGCUGAACCCCCUUCCAAAAGAAAACUGAGCGAGGGUCUCUAUUGAGACAGCAUCUGAAGCCGGCCCGCAGCCACAGCGUCCACGUGCUCGUAACUGCACCAGGAACUGCCAGCCGCGGUGAGUGGGGGACCCCGUCCCGGCUGGAUCCGUGUGGCCCGGGUCCCAGUUCCUCUCUCUCCUGUGGGGGCACCACCUCCCGCCUCGAGCAGACCCAGGCAGGGGGCCGGCCCCCGAAAAUGGCUUGCCCGCUGACAGCCGUGUGCCUCGCUCGUGUAACUACCACAGUGGACCCAGCAACCCAGAGACCCACAGAAAGUGGAGGGACUGCUUCCAGCACUCCCAAACUUCCGCCUAUGCAAGGCCAGAGCAACACGGCUCUGAGCUGGAAAAACAGAGCUGGGUGACCAAGCCUGGGGCCCCUGCUGGGAAAACGAGGGGACAGUCACAGCACAGGGAAAGAGCACACGACGGCCACAGUGCAGGGAAAGAGCACACGACGGUCACAGCACAGGGAAAGAGCGCACGACAGCCACAGCGCAGGGAAAGAGCGCACGACGGCCAUACUGCAGGGAAAGAGCGCACGACGGCCACAGCGCAGGGAAAGAGCACACGACGGCCACAGCGCAGGGAAAGAGCACACGACGGCCACAGCGCAGGGAAAGAGCGCACGACGGCCAU
rnacentral:lncRNA from 10 species